AUGUGCUUGUAUUCUUCAUUUGCUAAUAAGAUGUAUUUUUAUCUGUAUUACAGGACAAUCGAGGCUUUGAAAAAUGGAACCCAGGCAGUGAUUUCAGAUGGUGAAAUCAAGACUUUGUAUAAGGAUCUCUGCAGCGGUAGAGUGAAGUCUGGCCUCAUGUAUCUGUGGCACAAUCCAGGUGUCUCGCUUAAAUUAAAGCAAAGACUAAAGCCACUGAUGUUCCACUUUGCUGAUGCACAGGUUGACGAGCUGACAGAGCGGAUUGGUUCAUGCUCAGGAAUAGAUAAACUAAUAAAGAAGGGAGAGUUCCAGUUUCUGGACUUGGUGUUUGAUGUCCUUGUUCCAGAGGUACAACGCAGUCUUCAGCAGUGAUUGGUAUAAAAGUUACUUUUUGAAAACAUUUGACAGUGUAUGAAUUAAUCCUGCAUGUUUUUCAGGUGACAAUAAAAGUGUUGGAAAAAUGGGAGUGGAUGAAUCGAUAUACAGCUGAGAAAGCCAUGCUUCAGCAAAUUCAUUUGUACCCAAAAUAAAAUGGUUGUGAAAUUAAGUGUUUCUUUGGUUUUAUUGUCUUUCACUCAAAAUAAAUACCAACUAGCUAAAUAGUUAUCAGCUGUAGUAGUUACAUUCUGUUGCAGUGAGCUGCUGUGAUACACAUAUAGGACAGUGUUAUGGAUAUUUAGUAAUAAAUUUUUGUUGCUGGUGAGAGAGGAGUGUUGCUGAAAUGUUUUUCACUGCUUCUGGGAGUCCUGUACUUUAGCAAUUGGUGCAGGUCAAAAGUUCAUCUUGGGCUUAACAAUAAAGCUGAAUAUUUAGCAUCUACUAUUUUGUUUGCACAUCUUGAAAAGUCUUAGUUUAAUGUGUUCUCAUUUUUUCCAUAUAUGUUUCUUUUAUUCACUUUACAGCCUUUUAUUGCUGUAAAAAAUGUAUAUAUAUAUAUAUAUAUAUAUAUGCUACUGUCAUAAAAAUUCCCUGUCUGAAGGACAAAGGUAUUUAAUAUUCACUUUUCAUGCAACGUAGGUAACGACGUUAUUUAAAAGUUUGCCAGUCCCGAUUUGAAGAGAAAAAAAUCCGAAAUAAAAAGCUUUUUUCUGUCAUUUUUGUUUAAAAAAACUACUUCCAGUGAAAGUAAUGACUUCUGGUUAAGGUAAUGACCCACCGUAUAAUUUUUAUCUUAAAUAUGUAUAUAUUUAUACAUGUAUCUAAGAGAAAAACGACACGGUGUGAUUUUUCUCGUCAAAUCCAAACUACUUCCGGCAAACGUAAUGACCCGAUGUCUUGUUUUUCCGUUUACGUCAUUUCCGGUCACGGCAAAGACGCCAGCUGAUGUCUGCAGCCAGAUGCUCGUGUCAACUUUGGGUGUUUUUAAAACCUUCCUUUAAAAAGCCGAAACAAAAAAUGUCCAAAUUCGUAUACGAGUGCCAAUUUCCUAAAACCCCAAUUUAAAUAUGAUUAUGUGCAAAAUGGUGUAAAGAAUGUGCUGUUUUCUGUACACAAGCAGACAAAAACAAAAAUAUGCUUGCUGUAAUUUCUCCAUUUUCUACGUUGUGUCUGACAUAUCUUUUCAUCUUUCGUAGUUUUAAUAACAAGUUUCCAAGGGAAAGCACAACAGUUGUUUACCUUGAACAAACAACAGUAGAGUACUUUCUCUUGUUGAACGUCCAUCUGAAUUAAAGGUCCCAAGUUCAUAUUUUCCACUGUCAUCCCUGAUCAGGCUAUUGAUCCCAACUGUUCCAGUACUGGGAAUAAAAAUGACUCUUGACCCUUAUGAUAGUUGUAUUACAGUACUUUUAUUUCUCCACCAGACUACAUUUGAACCAUCUUUUUACCAGUCUAAUCCGGGUAUCUCUGCAGUGUUGUCCACCAGCUGGAUGUCCACAGCUCCUCCUAAAGCUCCGACACACUGAGCUCCAUCCUGUCUGCCAUCACAGAAAGUUUCUACAGGUGGAAAAAACAAUAAAGAGAUUUUACAGUGAAACACGACAAUAAGAUCAGAUUUAAAACAAUUAUUCAACCUAAAAUAAAUGGUUAAAUGCAACAUAUUUACACAGUUUUGCUGAAUUUAAAUGAUAAAUUCAAAUAACACAACAAAUUAAAUUUAAAUGCAGCUGUUUAAUGGUUGAAGAUGAUGGAAAUACUUUACAAUCUUAGUGAGAGAUUCCAAUCAGCAGCAGUCCAACCACAGCGUCCAUAAUAAUGAGUUUUACUCUGAGCAGCCUGCAUGGUGUGCUGAUAGUGAUCAGCCUCUGAGGAGAAUGUGAGGAAAUGAAACAAAGUUUCUAUCGUUUCCAACUUCUGAGAGGAGGAAUAACUGCAAGUUUUAGUUCCCCUUUAAGCUAAAGGAAACAGUGAUAACAGAGGAAAGUACUGAACCUUGGUCCUAAUUUCAUUUCAUCUGAAUAUUUAUUCAUUUAUAAUAAAUUAAACUUUAAUUAAACCUCCUUUUAGCAUUUUGUGUGCCUCAGAUGUGUCUGUACGUUAAUUUGUCAUUUCUCCACAAGCUGAUGGUGUGCCUGCAUUUAUAAUCUAGACACCUACAGUCAGGUCCAUAAAUAUUGGGACAUCGACACAAUGCUAACAUUUUUGGCUCUAUACACCACCACAAUGGAUAUCAAAUGAAACAAAUGAGAUGUGCUUUAACUGCAGACUGUUAGCUUUUAUUUGAGGGUAUUUUUAUCAGGUGAACGGUGUUGGAAUUACAACAGUUUGCAUAUGUGCCUCCCACUUGUUAAGGGACCAAAGUAAUGGUACAGAAUAAGAACCAUAAAUCAAACUUAUACAUUUCAAUACUUGGUUGCAAAUCCUUUGCAGUUAAUUACAGCCUGAAGUCUGGAACACAUAGACAUCACCAGAUGUUGGGUUUCAUCCCUGGUGAUGCUCUGCCAGGCCUCUACUGCAAAAGUCUUCAGUUUCUGCUUGUUCCUGGAGCAUUUUCCCUUCAGGUUUGUCUUCAGCAAGUGAAAUGCAUGCUCAAUCGGAUUCAGGUCAGGUGAUUGACUUGGCCAUUGCAAAACAGUCCACUUGUUUCCCUUCAAAAACUCUUUGGUUGCUUUUGCAGUAUGCUUUGUGUCAUUGUCCAUCUGCACUGUGAAGCGCCGUCCAAUGAGUUCUGAGGCAUUUGGCUGAAUAUGAGCAGAUAAUAUUGCCCAAAACACUUCAGAAUUCACCGUGCUGCUUUUGUCAGCAGUCACAUCAUCAAUAAAUACAAGAGAACCAGUUCCACUGGCAGCUGUACAUGCCCACGCCAUGACACUUCCAGCACCAUGCUUCACUGAUGAGGUGGUAUGCUCAGGAUCAUGAGCAGUUCCUUUCCGUCUCCAUACUCUUCUCUUCCCAUCACUCUGGUACAAGUUGAUCUUGGUCUCAUCUGUCCAUAGGAUGUUGUUCCAGAACUGUGAAGGCUUUUUUAGAUGUUGUUUGGCAAACUCUAAUCUGGCCAUCCUGUGUUGGGGGCUCACCAAUGGUUUAUAUCUUGUGGUGAACCCUCUGUAUUCACACUGGUGGAGUCUUCUCUUGAUUGUUGACUUUGACACAGAUACACCUACCUCCUGGAGAGUGUUCUUGAUCUGGCCAACUGUUGUGAAGGGUGUUUUCUUCACCAGGGAGAGGAUUCUUCGAUCACAGUUGUUUUCCGUGGUCUUCCGGGUCUUUUGGUGUUGCUGAGCUCACCGGUGCGUUCCUUCUUUUUGAGAAUGUUCCAAACUGUUGUUUUGGCCACGCCUAAUGUUUUUGCUAUCUCUCUGAUAGGUUUCUUUUGUUUUUUUAAGCCUAAUGAUGGCUUGCUUCACUGAUAGUGACAGCUCUAUGGAUCUCAUCUUGACAGUUGACAGCAACAGAUUCUAAAUGCAAAUAGCACACUUCAAAUGAACUCUGGACCUUUUAUCUGCUCAUUGUAAUUGGGAUAAUCACCAAGCCCCCACAAUGCGGGUGAAAAAUUGAGCCCAAUCCGGAAGUAGCAAAAGUUGCAGUUCCACCCUCAUCCGCUGGGGGCUGGUGUCAGAAGCGAGCAAAUCCUCAUUGACUCCCAUGUUAAAAAUAUCAAUUUCACAGCAGAAAUAAACAUGUUUACAGCCUGGUACCAAAACAUGUUUUUGGUUUAAAUGAUCUAGUUUACACUCAUGACAACUCUGAGGGGGGUGAAUUUUUUUCUCACUCUUCUGUUUAAGUGUAUUAAAAGCCUAAAAUUCUGUAUAAUUAAUGAGCAUCAGACCCACGUGACCACAGAGCUAGCUCCGUGGAAAGGCCUCAGUAGAGCCUCGGUCUGGCUUGGAAACUG
ensembl:lncRNA